UCGAUGGACUGGACUUACACUAAUACGUUAGCCAUUUGGAAAGAGGAGAUGGCCAUAAAUUACUACCAUGGUGAAUAUCAUUAAAACGCCGCAGAACCAAAAGCUCCGUGUGCACGUGAACUCCUGCGCCUCGCGCUGCCACUCCGCAAAGCUGCAGUAUCACCGAACGCUUUACACUGAGCUCUAAAGCUGGAAAGGCGUCUUAGAGACGAGCAGGUCCAGGCGACCGUGCCUAAGACAGCAAGUUCCCCCUAGGAGGGGUUCGAGAAAUGUUUGGUGAAUGAGUGAGCCCCUCAUUUUACGGACUACGUAACAGCUCCUGGAAAAGGAAGCGAUUGCCCCCAUGGCACACUUCACUGGUGGCAGAGCAGGGCACUACAGCACAGCUGACUCUCAGGAGAAUUGUUAACAUCAACCAGAUCCCUAAAAGUGAUUCUGGCAGCAAAUGAGCAUGUCUCUGCGAAGCAGGUGAAGAGCCCGGGACUCUGGGCUGGACGCAUUGGCAGCUGCAGGCCUGAGAAGACCCCACCGGGCAGGCGGUGCUGAGCCCUAGUGCAGGAUGCCCCCGGCUGUCCCCGAGGGAGCCCAGCUUUGAAGGAGGAAGAGGACUGGCAGUUCAGGACACCCAAGUCACCGAAGAAAGGUGGAAGCAGGGGAGCCUGGGAUUGGCCCCCCAACCUGUGCCUGCUGGAAGCUCCUCUCCUUUCCGCAGCGUCUCUGCAGCUGUGACUGUGAUGUGGAAGGCUGUCAUCCACCGUGGACCCUCUAGAGGCCGUGGACUGUCUGCUUUGCCCAUCACUCUGUGCCCAGCGCAGUGUCUGCAUGAAGUGAAGACGUGAUAAGUGUCUGCUAAGGGAGCGAAGGACUGAGUGGGUGCAUGAGUGGGACAGUUUUCUCACUGCCUCAGCUGCUCCCAGCCCUAUUUUAAGGACAGAGAAUAUGCAUGUUUAAAGGACAGAUGCGUGUCU